GCUAAGUGCAGUGUAUACUUGUAGUCCCAGCUAUUCAGGGGGCUAAGGCAGGAAAAUUGCUUGAGUCCAGGACUUCCAGGCUAUAGUGCACUACGCUGAGUGAUCAGGUGCCCACAUUAAGUUCAACAUUAAUACGGUGACCUCCUGGGGGUGGGGGACUAGCAGGUUGUCAAAAGAAGAGUGAUCUGGACAAAGUGAAAUGGAGCAGGUCAAAACUCCCAUGCUAAUCAGUACUGAGCUCUUGAUUGUGAAUACCCAAAGCACUCCAGCCUGGGCAACAUAGUGAGACCCCAUCUCU
rnacentral:SRP_RNA from 1 species